UGAGGAGUAGUUUAAUGAAAAAUUAAGAAUUUUGGUUUCUUAGAUACAAGGUCGUUUCUUGUCUUUUCAG
rnacentral:tRNA from 1 species